UCAAUAAAAUGUAUUUAAAAAUAAGUAAAUAAAUAAAUAAUUAAAAAGCUAAUACAUGCCAAAUGUAUGAUUUGUAGUUUUACAUUAAAUCAGGCACAGAGAAUCAGUCAUUUUAGUAUUAAUUGCAGUAAGCUGACAGGUAAGGCUUAAUUUCUUUAUGCCAAAGUCACUGCAUAUCCAUUGCUUGUAAUAAAGGAAAAGGAAGUACCUCAAUUCAUUAAUUUUUAUCUCAAAAAUAUAUCAACUACUUUGGUAGAGUUUGGUAAUUUACCAUGAAAGUAAAACUUUAACUUAAAAUUCAUAAAAUUAAGUUUCAGUUAAGAAGUGGGCAUUUAAAUAAUAUUUUGAUUAUAUAUUAAAAUGUACAUCUCAAAAGUUACUUAUAUUUCUAUUCAGCUAUCUAAUAUAAAAAUCACUAUAGCCCUAGAAAAUGUGUACCUUAUUUUUAAUGGAAUCAAUUUAAUCAACUACUAGAUAACUACAAAAUAAAAAUAUCCAAUAAUUUUCUGAAAUCAUUAAAUAUGUUGUACUUUAAAUUACAUUACCACUUGUACCUGUAUAUAAGAUUUUUAAUAUUUUAUAUUUACCAUUAUUUCUCAAGGAGAGGAUUUACUUUUACUCCUAAGUCCUUAAAAUUAUAUAUUAGAAAUUCUCACUGCUAAAUAAUAUAAAUAAUUUAAGGCAUUAAAAUGACUUUUGUAGAGCAUGUAAAAUGUAAAGCAUGAGCUAGCAUUUAAUAUAUUUUCACAUACUUUUUAAAUCUGCUCAGUAACUAUUCUAUUUUUAAAUCAUAAAAAUACUUCUUAAAUUUGAAAAUUAAUGCAAGAAUUUAAAAAUAUACAUAUAUAUAAAUAAAACAAACCAGGUAAAAGCUCAUAUUUGUUAAGAAUGUAAAGAUUUACUACUCCUGUUUUUAAAAGUUACAAGGUCAAUGUAGAGGUACUCAAACAUUUUAUGAGAGGAGAAAAACAGGGUUUUGGUCCUCUACUAAUUUAGCAGAAGCAAAGUUUGAUUGUAACUUAUUUUUAAAAUCAGUUUGAAAGAGUAUACUUUAUAAGUGUGCACAUCCCCAUCACCAAUACCAGAAUAUAUAAUUUUGUUUCCAGCAAUGCAGAGAGAGAAUUGGAAGCCAAUGAUUAAAAAGAAGAGAUUACUACCCACCACCAAAAUAUUCAGUAUUAGCACCACAGUUGCUAAAAUGAUUAACACAGAAAAACAGUUAUUCCAAAAUGACUUUUUCAUUAAAUUUGACUAAUAGAAAAUGUAAAUUAUAUUUUAAGGAAUCAGUUAUUUACCAUAUUUUCUCAGAUUUAAAUACUUCUUAUUUCUUGGUUAUAUGCUUUAAGGUCAUACUGACAUCAAGGGAUUAUUAUUUAUCCUUUAUGCACCUUAAACCACUGGCAUUGACACAGAACAAUGGUUUCACAUUCCAAAAUUUGCAGGUAAUUUUUAAAGAAAUUAUAGCUGAACAUUCAAUACCCAACUGUGGCUAGUUGCUAGGCAUUAACUGGCACUUAAUAAUUAAACUUUCUUUAAUAGAGGUCUUAAAACAACUAAUUUUCAGUAUCCAGAAAUUACCAAUAAAAACCAGGAUCACUCAACAUUUUUAAGUUCAUAAAACUAAUUUUCACAUUAUGCUCAAAUUGAGACCUCCAGAAAGCAAAACACAAACAAACAAAAAAACC